UACAGAGGAGCCAAGCGUUGUCCGGAUUGACUGGGCGUAAAGCGCACGCAGGCGGGGGUGCGCGUGGGGUGUGAAAUCUGGCCGCUUAACUGUGGGCUUGCGGUCGAUACGGGCAUCACUGGAGUUCGGCAGGGGAGACUGGAAUUCCUGGUGUAGCGGUGAAAUGCGCAGAUAUCAGGAGGAACACCGGUGGCGAAGGCGGGUCUCUGGGCCGAUACUGACGCUGAGGAGCGAAAGCGUGGGGAGCAAACAGG
rnacentral:rRNA from 1 species